rnacentral:lncRNA from 1 species
AAUUAAAAAACAACUUAUCAAUCAAGUUGAUUAAUCCUAACAAAUAUAUGCCACUUCCAACAAUUAUACAUGAACUGAUCAUAGGUUAUUAUUGGAUUUGGAUCAAAAUAAAGUACCUUGGUUUUCUGAAAAGAAAGAAACUUCCUUCAAAGUGGAGAGUUACCUCUACAGAAGAUGUUGAAUGUAAGCAAACCUUUCUAUAAGUCUAUGCAAAACAAAAUCACUGAAGUUGCGACAAAGAUGCAUGACGCAAUUCCAAAGAAGAAAUCGGAAUACAAACUCGUGGAACUCACAACAAUGUUUGUAUGCAAGGCCUCACAAGAGGUUUCCGCAAUCUCACAAGACACUGGGUUUAGUCUAGACGAUCUUCUUCAUACUUUGUUUCGAUGACAUAAGCAAAUGGUGAUCAUGCUUCGAUCAGAUAGUGUUGCAUCACAAGCAUAAUUUGUAAGCAAAUACUACCUCUGUUCCUCAUAAUGCAUUGAUUCCACACCAGGUUUGUAGCUCUGUUGGAAUGUGUUGGUCUCAUUUGUACCUUUUCAUAAUUGUGACUUCGGUUUACUUCUCCAUGUAUUCAGUGAUGUCCCACAUGUAAAUAAGGCUAUCUAGCACCAGUCUACUAAUGCCAUUGCCGGAUUAACAUUGUGAAAAAUUUACAAAAAACUGGCAUUAAAAUUUCUAAAAGUGGAC